AGUCGUAACAAGGUCUCCGUAGGUGAACCUGCGGAGGGAUCAUUACACAAAUAUGAAGGCGGGCUGGAACCUCUCGGGGUUACAGCCUUGCUGAAUUAUUCACCCUUGUCUUUUGCGUACUUCUUGUUUCCUUGGUGGGUUCGCCCACCACUAGGACAAACAUAAACCUUUUGUAAUUGCAAUCAGCGUCAGUAACAAAUUAAUAAUUACAACUUUCAACAACGGAUCUCUUGGUUCUGGCAUCGAUGAAGAACGCAGCGAAAUGCGAUAAGUAGUGUGAAUUGCAGAAUUCAGUGAAUCAUCGAAUCUUUGAACGCACAUUGCGCCCUUUGGUAUUCCAAAGGGCAUGCCUGUUCGAGCGUCAUUUGUACCCUCAAGCUUUGCUUGGUGUUGGGCGUCUUGUCUCUAGCUUUGCUGGAGACUCGCCUUAAAGUAAUUGGCAGCCGGCCUACUGGUUUCGGAGCGCAGCACAAGUCGCACUCUCUAUCAGCAAAGGUCCAGCAUCCAUUAAGCCUUUUUUUUCAACUUUUGACCUCGGAUCAGGUAGGGAUACCCGCUGAACUUAAGCAUAUCAAUAGUAAAAGUCG
rnacentral:rRNA from 1 species